ACCACAGCAUGCCGGAUAUCAUAUUGUAUUCCCAUGUAUUCUUUGUCCGCCUCCUUGAGUAACUCCCACAACUCCCAUAAUGAAGAACCCGCCAGAUUGCCUGCAUGAUUCUGGUAGCAUCCUCUUAAACGCAGUUCCUUAUUCAGAAGGCUUAGCUCUUUCACUUUAUGCUGAAAAUGCUCCAUGGCUGCCGGCAUACUUUUUCCAU
rnacentral:misc_RNA from 1 species